rnacentral:misc_RNA from 1 species
ACGAAGUACAUGACGAGUUGUUGCUGUUUAUCGUGCACGCUUGUUAUUCUUCAUUUUUCCAUCAUUUGUGCAUCACUUGUGUGGACCACGGUUAGGACUGCUUUGCAAAGUCACUAUUUGCAGGGCUUUCCUUGUAAUCUUUUGGUCUACAUGUAUUUUUUCACAUACACCAAUGUUUUAGAAGGAAUGAAAUGAAAUUGUUAUA